CAGUCGCCACGGUAAUACGUAGGGUGCGAGCGUUAAUCGGAAUUACUGGGCGUAAAGCGUGCGCAGGCGGUUCGUUAAGACAGAUGUGAAAUCCCCGGGCUUAACCUGGGAACUGCAUUUGUGGCUGGCGAGCUAGAGUAUGGAGAGGUGAGUGGAAUUUCCGGUGUAGCGGUGAAAUGCGUAGAUAUCGGAAGGAACACCUGUGGCAAAAGCGGCUCACUGGACCAUUUCUGACGCUGAUGCACGAAAGCUAGGGGAGCAAACAGGAUUAGAGACCCGAGUAGUCCCUGUCUCUUAUACC
rnacentral:rRNA from 1 species